rnacentral:lncRNA from 1 species
AGAGCAGGAGCAUAUGGACAGAGGAGAGGCAGAAGCCGGGCUCUGCAGGGCUGUGGAAGCUGGAGGACUAGGUUGUCCCAGAGUCCCGUACCCCUGGGGAUCCAGGAAGUUACACUGAGGUGAGGCCAACUGCUCUGUGUGUGGAAGCCAGAGAAGAAAGCAGCACAGAACAGAUGCAAACCAAGGAGGCUGGAAGAUAAGAGCAGAGCCAUCAGGACCCGAGCCCCUCGGGGCAUUUCAGAGCUUCCUGUGUGCAGCAUGGAUCUAAAGCUGGUGGAUGCAGGGGGGUGAAAAAGACAACAUCUUCACUUCCUGCAUGCUGAUGGCGGAAGUGAGACAUCAGCGAAGAAACAUCACGAUCACCAAAUUAUGAUGAACACCAUGGAGGAAACAAAGGACACUGUGACACCAAGGAAGGAAGGGAGGUUACUUUUCAUAGUGGCUGUAAAUAGAACUGAAGGCUGAAAAAGAGCUGUUAAAAUGGCUUGUUUGUUUGAAGAUGAAUGAGAGUACACAAUAAAAGGAAAAAAAUUUGGACACAGACACACACAGAGGGAUGACCAUGUGGAGACGCAGGGAGAGGAUAGCAGCUACAGGCCAGGGCGAGAGGCCUCAGAGGAAACCAGCCCUGCUGACUCUUUGAACUCGGACUUCCAGCCUCCAGAACUGAACCACUGUCUUCCUUUAUCCCAGGAUGUCUGCAAGGAAGAAAAUGUCCUUUUUCUAGCAUUUAGAGGCCACCAACAUUGAAUAACCAUACUGGGGUAGACACAGUGGGGAAGAGAUUCCUGCUGUUCCCAUCACAGCAGCCUUGGAGAUGAGGAGACAGAUGGAUCUGACCAGAAGUCUGGAGAACUUCGAGAAAAAAGGAGGAGGACACAAAAGGAAAGAACAAAAAAGAUGCAUCCGGAGCAACUAUGAGGAUGGUAAAUUGGUGUCUAAUUCUGAAAAUCAUAAUUGGUAUGAAUGCUAUGCACUGUGGAAGGAGGGAUGAAGGGUAGAGGGAAUAAAAAAGAACGUGAAGUUAGAAUCCUUGGCAUGAAAGCCUGCCGUUU